UACGUAGGGUGCAAGCGUUGUCCGGAAUUAUUGGGCGUAAAGAGCUCGUAGGCGGUCUGUCGCGUCGGCUGUGAAAACCCGGAGCUCAACUCCGGGCCUGCAGUCGAUACGGGCAGACUAGAGUGCUGUAGGGGAGACUGGAAUUCCUGGUGUAGCGGUGAAAUGCGCAGAUAUCAGGAGGAACACCAGUGGCGAAGGCGGCUUCCUGGUCUGCAACUGACGCUGUGGCGCGAAAGCUAGGGGAGCAAACGGG
rnacentral:rRNA from 1 species